CACACUGGAUCAGAGCUAGCUCCUGUAAUGGGUUGCUGGAGCAAGGGGCCAGGGGCUCAGGGAAGCAGCUCUGCAGAUGCCACUCCAGGAAAGGAGCAGAUCUGACAGAGGCUAGGAAGCUGCCUGGAGCAGAGGGCCAAGGACCGAGUUAAGACUGUUUCCUGUUUGUUUCAUAACCUCGGUCAAGGAAAUAAACCUUCUUGACUGAGAGUGGGUGUGGCAGCGCAUGCUCUGGAGCCAGGGCGAAGUAUGGCUCGAUGACACCAGCACCGGCCUCGACACCAUCACCAGGGAUUUAGCAGAACUAGAAGAGCUAUCACUGAUAUGGGUGGAGAAUGUCUCCCUGAACAAGGUCCCUAGGGAAUGGAUCUAUACAGGAGAACCACUUGGAUAUUCAGAGUCUCACCAUUUGCUGAAGUCUCUGUAAUUCUGACCAGACUAACACAAGAGAAGGACCUAGAUGACAUCACCAUCUCCAGGUCUGUGUCCUGAGAUGUGACUCUAACAUUCCUGCUAUUUCUCUAGUCCAGUGGCUCCAUUUCUUUGCUCGCCUUCUUCCCCCACCCUUUUCUCUCUUCCUUUGGUUUUCUAUUUAAUAAGGGUCUGGCUUAGCCAACUGAGACAAAUCUAACCUUGCAAUUUAGUUGCUGGAAAAAAAUCAGUCACUCAAGACGCAGCUAGCCACUCUGAGACCUGGCAAGCUUUUACCGGAACUAGCCCUGUUUAUAGCUUUUAACCAGGUUUGUCUUAUUCUUGCAGCAGAACUAAGAAAAUGAUUCUCAGAGGAUAAAGUAGGUGAUGACUUUAGCUUUUCUUUCUGCUUGGGGGAUGUCUGCAAAUAACUUGUGAUUUCCUCAGCUGUAUUCCACUGUUGUCAUCAUGAAUGACUCUGAAGGGCUACUAGGAAUGACAAUAGAUAGUCAUUGGGCCUGAGAGUUAGUGAGACUGAUUCUCCAGUGGGUAAUAGGAGCAUUCGCUCCUCUGGGAGAAGGGAGCCCCGCAUUCCAAUUCUGGCACACCAAUGAACUCAAACAAUGGAACAGCUUCACAAGGAGAGAUUGAGAAUGUCCCAUCCCCAAAUAUCCCAUAGCCUGGUGGCUAGGACAGCAUCACAAUGUGACAGACCCAAGUUCAGCUCUCUUUUCCACAUCAGGCAGAGGUGGGAAUUGACGUGCCAUGUCCCAGGAAGUGCACUAACCACUAGGUUAAAGGUCAUCAUGGAGGUGCCUGCUUCUGCAGUUUUAUAAAUAUUUUGGGCUGAAACAAAACAUUUAAGUUUGUCCCAGAAUUGUUCAGCCUGUUUGACUCACUAAAACAUUUCCAAAAGUGUCAUUUUCAGUUUGAUCCAAAAAUGAAACCUUUUUGUUCCCAAUUUCUCAAAAUUUGCCAGUGAACCAAAACAUUAAUUAUUCACCCAGCUCUCCUGGACACAGGCUCCUGAAGGGAGGAAAAGCAGGUCCCCAACCCCUGUCAGACCCGCAGAAUGAUACAUAGUAGGUACACAGAGUGUAGUGUCACCAGGAUCCAUCUAUGGGGGGUGGGAGGUUCUCAAGACUCACCCCAAGACAGGUACUGGCAAAAGAGCCAAGAACUGAGAGGCCUGCACUCAGAGCAACCAGAAAGGAGGUAGAGGUGCAGCUAGCCCCCAAUUGUGACAGCUAUUUAAAAACAAACAAACAAUCAAGCUUCUCUUUUCAGACAAAUGCACAUGAUAGGGUGGGAGAGAGGGGGAGGCAGAGCGGAGAGACACAACAACAGUGAAAGAUAAGAAUAGGCAGCUUGUUUCUCUGAUGCUUGCAAUUUAGUCGCUGGGAAGAAGGAAAAAAAACCCAGACAGGCAAAGAGUAUCGCUCAAGACCCAGUUAACCACUGGCAAACUUUUACCAGAACUAGCCAGUGUUUAUAGCUUGCCAAGGAACAAAAUAGCUUUAAAAAGGGGGCACAAUCAGAAGGCCCGUUGAUUCUUUAAACUAAUUGACUAAUUUAAAAAAAAAAGAGAGAGCAGUUUAUGAGGAAAGUUGCAACAAACAUCAGUGCUCUGUUCCAUCUGAAACAAAGCACCUGUGUGAAGUUCAUUUCAAGUUAAAUAAGAGACUAAAUUUAAAAAAGGCACAGGCCACUAGGGGGUGCUAAAGGAUGAACUGAGCCUCUCUAAUGGCUCAAUGCUGUACCAUUGAUGUCAAUGGGAGCUUUGGCUUCAGUUGCACAGGAUCGGGCCCCAAAGUGAGAACGGUAAAUAUGGUCUUUAUAUUUUACUGUUAUAUCUUUAGUUUGAGGUGAAUUUUGCCCUAGGACUUGGUACAGGAGCAACCUUGCCUGUGAUUCUACCUAAAGCAGCAUAUCAGAGCAAUAACAGCAGCGUGGGAGAGUGCCUGGAAGAAUGCUGCACCCUGAUUACAGCACAACCUCAUGCAAAAUUACCAGAGCCGGGCUUUAUUUUAAAUAAUCUACUGGAGAAAGGCAUCUUCCGAGAGCCAAAGAAGACUGGCUUAAUUAAAAAACGUAAGAGAUUAUGGACAGCCCUGGGGCCCGAACAAAGGAAAUCAGAAAGACAGUCUAUUAAGGAAUUGACUGAGAGACACACAGUGUUCAUGGGAUUUCAUACUAAUCAAUAGAUAUUUGGUGAAUUACAGGAGAGUUGCUGACAAGUUUACAGGGACAGUUCAUACUGCCCACAUCGGUUAGAGAUUCUCAACUAGAGGCAAUCAACAGAGCACCGGGAGAGUCAAAGGAGCUAUGCAGAUGUAUAGAGGUAGAGGAUCAGAACCAGAAAUCUUUGCUUUAGCUCACUUAUGUUAUUCAGUAAGAAGAGGAACUGGGAGACUGAGCUUUAUUCAAUGAAGAGCUGUAUCAAUACGGUGUGCAGGUUUGAGAGGCAUUGAACUGUCAGAUGCAAUUAGACUCUGAAUUACCUUUCUAGAAAGCAAUUAUGCAUAGGAGACAACGCAAUGGCACUAACAAGCUGUUGGGCAUUUCACCCUUUUUCUCAGCUUGGCUCAGAAUCACCUCCCUGAAUACUCAGUAGCUGGGGAACAAAAGGCUCAAAGGGGUAGCCAAGGUCAGGAAAUCUGCCCUGGAUAAAGUCCCCAUGUCUUUUAGAGGGAGACUGAAGGUUCUACAGUCUUUCAUGCAUGCUGGUGAUUUUGUUAUAGUCAUUAAAGCAUUUUGCCAGUGCUCUGGCUAUAACACAGUAACAGCUGUGCUGGCAGCAACUCCGCUGUGUGCAGGUCUCCAUGCUCCUAGAAUUGUUACCUCUCCCACUUCCUGCCCAUUUAGGAGUUUCAUCCACCUGUCAUUACAUCUUGUCAUUAACCUAGAUGUAGGUCAGAGACUGGCUCUGUACGAUAUAUUUAUACGGGGCUUAGCACAAUUGACUGACGCCCCCAGGAGCUGCUGUAAUAUAACAGACAAAUAAUAACACAAUCCUCUAUAAACGCAACAAGACAAAAUGGCCAUAAAGACCCGUCUCCUGUCAAACUCAAAUUAAUUUCUCUCCCUUCCUCCUCUCCAGGUGUGUGUGUUUGUGUAUGUGUAGAUAUACACUGUAUGUAUUAUUAUAUGUAUUGUAUAUGUACACACACACAGACACACAAAAUCCCCUAGGAAAGCUGAAUAUCUGCUAAGUGAGUGAUACCUAAAUAUAAGUGUCAUAGAAGAGGCAGCACCUGACCUUGUAAUCUAGCACAUUUUGUAGCACUUGCACUGCAUCAUGCGAUGUAAUGAACCUUCUCGGUGUUCUCAGUGACUGUGGUGAUAUGGCAUAAUACCGUCCCUUAUGUGGUUUUACAGAGUUCCCGGCUGCGAGUAAACCAGGAAACCUCAUCGGCUCAUGACUGGACUCCACAUGCAAGGCUUAACUGGUGCCUGGGACAUUGAAGAAGCCGUCGGCACUGGGGGUCGAUUUCAUCCUAAAUGUCUAUUGUCUUGACCUGGGCUGUACUCUGGCUACUUGGCACUUCUGCAGUGGUACAAAGGGACCAGCAGACUCAGCCCCUGGAAGAUGUCCCCUGUGUUUGUGGGCUCCUAGGCCAAGCCCUCUACCAGCUGGCUGCAUGGGGAGGCAUGACUGGGCUUUUCCGGUGCCCUGGGUGUUGUCACACUCUGCUGGGGAGUAGACCUGACCAGUGCCAGCUUAGGGCAAAGGUACCAUCUGCUGAUGCCUAGAGAUCCAGCUCCCGGGGUCACCUGAUGACAUCAGAAUCUCAGCUUUCAUUUUAGAAUGCCCUCAAAUGAGUGAAGAAAUAUUUGAAAACGUGAACCAUGUGUCACUGAUGCAGUAAUAGCUGCCUGAGUUUGCAGACAGCCUGACACAAAAGCCCUGUCAACACCCCCCUCCGCAAAGGACUCUGCAUGUGGCAAGAGAAGAAGAAUGCAGCAGGCUCAGCUCACCCAGCCAAGCAGGUACUCUGGCUGCUGGGGGAAGAAAAACUACUUCUCUUCUGAAGUUAAAUCUAAUGAAGACAAAGAAGGAAAGCGCUCAGGAUAGCGAGGACUUUACAAGAACACAACAAAAACUCUGUAAUAUGGGACCCAUCUUCAAAUGAUCCAAGUAAAGCCAAUUAACUUAAACUAUGUUAAGGAAUUUGGGUGUGUAUGAUUUCCUGUGAUUGAAUUAUGCAUUGUAUUUUCAUCUGAUCUGGCCCGGCCGAACUCAUGCCCACUGAAGUCAAUGGAAGGAAUCCUGUUGACUUGGAUCAGACCCUGUGGACACUUUCUACAAAUAUACAAAUUAAUCUGCAUUGACAGUUUUCUCAUCCUCCCUGCAUUUGAUUUGCACAAAUAUUCUCGCAAAGAUGAAAAGUUUCCUCGAAAAGCAGAGUUUACGGCUUGAGUUUUCAAAGCAAGUGCUGAACUCUUAAACUCCUUUGAAAAUCCUACAGCAAGCAAAUUUCAAAUUCAUAAUCACAACUAUUUGCACUGGGGAAACCUAAUUUCGAUAGUAAUGGGAUUAGAAACAUGGCAAGUGACUUCAACAGUUGAAUUAUGAAGAUGAAAUAGCCACAGAGAAUUGCUCACAACCAGGCUACCUGACCAAGAAUUUUGGGGGAAUAAUUUCAAAAU